rnacentral:rRNA from 1 species
GACGAACGCUGGCGGCGUGCCUAAUACAUGCAAGUCGAGCGGACUUUCAAGAAGCUUGCUUUUUGAAAGUUAGCGGCGGACGGGUGAGUAACACGUGGGCAACCUGCCUGCAAGACGGGGAUAACUCCGGGAAACCGGGGCUAAUACCGGAUAAUAUCUUCCUUCGCAUGAAGGAAGGUUGAAAGGCGGCGCAAGCUGCCGCUUGCAGAUGGGCCCGCGGCGGAUUAGCUAGUUGGUGAGGUAACGGCUCACCAAGGCGACGAUGCGUAGCCGACCUGAGGGGGUGAUCGGCCACACUGGGACUGGGACACGGCCCAGACUCCUACGGGAGGCAGCCGUAGGGAAUCUUCCGCAAUGGACGAAAGUCUGACGGGGCAACGCCGCGUGAGCGAAGAAGGUCUUCGGAUCGUAAAGCUCUGUUGUCAGGGAAGAACAAGUACCGUUCGAACAGGGCGGUACCUUGACGGUACCUGACCAGAAAGCCACGGCUAACUACGUG